AUCUCUAGACUCUAAUGCGACACUCAUUGACAUUUUUAACUUCGAUAUUUAUCGACACAAAAAAGUUAGAAAUGAUCUUCCUGUACUUUUGGCCCGUUCCGGCUACGCAACUUCCAAGUGACAAAGACAAAGUGAACUUCAAUUUGAAUAACAGAGAGAGAGAGAACUUUUGGACCCGUUCCGGCUACGCAACUUCCGAGUUACAAAGACAAAGUGAACUUCAAUUUGAGUAACACAGAGAGAGAGAGAGAGAGAGAGAUGCAUCUAAUUCCGUCGAAGAUGAUCAGGGACUCGUUCAAGCAUGAUUACCUGGUAAAGCUUGAAUGGAACCUUGAAAGAAUGAAAAGGAAAAAACAGUCUCAGAAACAGAAACUGUUGGAUAACGAAGAAGAAGCUGUCACUCUCACACCCAAACCCAGUUCGGAGAUUUGUUGUGGGCCCCGUAUGGUUUGCAAACAGAUAUUGAUCGCUCUCAAUAGUAUUUUCUGUUGUACUGAUUAUAUUGAUGGAGAUGAGUACUGAUGCUUUUGCGGAGCAGUUGGUAGUUGAAACUAUCCUGGAAGUAACAAGAUUUUGUAAAUAAUAAAUUAGUGAACCAGAUUCUGUACAGGUGUUGUUACAGGCAUGUUAAUUAGGAACCGAAUUGUUCUGUUGUGGAAACUAUAAUCAGAUCAUUCUUAACAAGAUAAUCUGAUUUAUCUUCAUUGGAUUAAAUAUGACUUUAUCAUUGUCUCAGAUGGUUGUUGCAUCAAAUGGUAGUAGUCAUAAUGAGCACAGUUAUGUUAUUUCUCAUUAUUUUGUAAUUUUGUCAAACUGCUCAUUUGGAUAAUUUCCUGUAUUAUUUUACGAUCAUCUUUUAGUUUUGGAGCCAGAAACUUGGGAUUUUGUGCUGUUUCUGUUCUCUUCAAUUACUAGUCUGCUGUUUUUGUGCUUGGAGAAUCAUAGGCCAGUGGGUAGAUGGAUUAUGGAUAUCGUUAUUACCAAUGCACUGUAGCCCUAUUUGUCACAGCAUCCACAUUCGAUGCAGAAACUUGGGAUUUUGUGCUGUU